UACAGAGGGUGCGAGCGUUAAUCGGAAUUACUGGGCGUAAAGCGUGCGUAGACGGUUAUUUAAGUCGGGUGUGAAAGCCCCGGGCUCAACCUGGGAAUUGCAUUCGAGACUGAAUAGCUAGGGUACGGUAGAGGGAAGUGGAAUUUCCGGUGUAGCGGUGAAAUGCGUAGAUAUCGGAAGGAACAUCAGUGGCGAAAGCGAUCGACUGGACCUCUUCUGACGCUGAGGCGCGAAAGCUAGGGGAGCAAACGGG
rnacentral:rRNA from 1 species